GAUGAACGCUGACAGAAUGCUUAACACAUGCAAGUCUACUUGAAUUUGGGUUUUUUAACUUAGAUUUGGGUGGCGGACGGGUGAGUAACGCGUAAAGAACUUGCCUCACAGUUAGGGACAACAUUUGGAAACGAAUGCUAAUACCUGAUAUUAUGAAUAUAUGGCAUCAUAUAAUUAUGAAAGCUAUAAGCGCUGUGAGAGAGCUUUGCGUCCCAUUAGCUAGUUGGAGAGGUAACGGCUCACCAAGGCGAUGAUGGGUAGCCGGCCUGAGAGGGUGAACGGCCACAAGGGGACUGAGACACGGCCCUUACUCCUACGGGAGGCAACAGUGGGGAAUAUUGGACAAUGGACCAAGAGUCUGAUCCAGCAAUUCUGUGUGCACGAUGACGUUUUUCGGAAUGUAAAGUGCUUUCAGUUGGGAAGAAAAAAAUGACGGUACCAACAGAAGAAGUGACGGCUAAAUACGUG
rnacentral:rRNA from 1 species